CACUUACCGGACAUGUUGUCACAAGGAGAGUUUUCGUUGACUUGUAUAUUCUGAAGGAGAACCUAAACCUCACUGCUGUCAACCACAGCUCUGAAAUCAGUGCAUCCUUGCUAACAAAACUCUGGUUGACAUAGAUACUGUUACCAUUCGAUCUUCCUCCUUCAAUAUUUUUGAUAUCUUCAAAACACAUAUCAUCAUCUUCUUCAUCCUCAUCUUUAACCUUUCCAUAAACACUAUAAUCCUCACCAUUCUCGUCCGCUUCAGCAACAAUAGAGAGACCAGCAUCCUCCUCCCCAUUGUCCUCCUCUCCAUCAUCCUCCUCCCCAUCA
rnacentral:lncRNA from 1 species